rnacentral:rRNA from 4 species
AGAGUUUGAUCCUGGCUCAGAUUGAACGCUGGCGGCAGGCCUAACACAUGCAAGUCGAGCGGCAGCGGGAAAGUAGCUUGCUACUUUUGCCGGCGAGCGGCGGACGGGUGAGUAAUGCCUGGGGAUCUGCCCAGUCGAGGGGGAUAACUACUGGAAACGGUAGCUAAUACCGCAUACGCCCUACGGGGGAAAGCAGGGGACCUUCGGGCCUUGCGCGAUUGGAUGAACCCAGGUGGGAUUAGCUAGUUGGUGAGGUAAUGGCUCACCAAGGCGACGAUCCCUAGCUGGUCUGAGAGGAUGAUCAGCCACACUGGAACUGAGACACGGUCCAGACUCCUACGGGAGGCAGCAGUGGGGAAUAUUGCACAAUGGGGGAAACCCUGAUGCAGCCAUGCCGCGUGUGUGAAGAAGGCCUUCGGGUUGUAAAGCACUUUCAGCGAGGAGGAAAGGUUGGUAGCUAAUAACUGCCAGCUGUGACGUACUCGCAGAGA